rnacentral:rRNA from 1 species
GACGAACGCUGGCGGCGUGCUUAACACAUGCAAGUCGAACGGAAAGGCCUCUUUCGGGGGGUACUCGAGUGGCGAACGGGUGAGUAACACGUGAGUAACCUGCCCUUGACUUUGGGAUAACUUCAGGAAACUGGGGCUAAUACCGGAUAGGAGCUCCUGCUGCAUGGUGGGGGUUGGAAAGUUCGGCGGUUGGGGAUGGACUCGCGGCUUAUCAGCUUGUUGGUGGGGUAGUGGCUUACCAAGGCUUUGACGGGUAGCCGGCCUGAGAGGGUGACCGGCCACAUUGGGACUGAGAUACGGCCCAGACUCCUACGGGAGGCAGCAGUGGGGAAUAUUGCACAAUGGGUGGAAGCCUGAUGCAGCAACGCCGUGUGCGGGAUGACGGCCUUCGGGUUGUAAACCGCUUUCGCUCAUGACGAAGCUUUGUGUGACGGUAGUGGGUAAAGAAGCACCGGCUAACUACGUG